GUCCGGUGGAAAAUUUUGAGCAUGUUCAAAACUUUGAACGGACGUCCAACGGAUAAAAUGUCCGUUGAACGUCCGUUAGUCGUCCGUUUUGUAUGGUACUCGUCCGUUUCGUUUCCGUUUUGUAUCCGUUACGUGUCCGUUAUACAUCCGUUGGAGGUUUGGAAGAUAAAUUCACCAACGGACUUCUACGGGACGUUUAACGGAUAAAACGG
rnacentral:lncRNA from 1 species